rnacentral:rRNA from 1 species
UACGGGGGGAGCAAGCGUUGUUCGGAUUUACUGGGCGUAAGGGCGCGUAGGCGGUCAGCACAAGUCAGUUGUGAAAUCUCCGGGCUUAACUCGGAACGGUCAACUGAUACUGCGCGGCUAGAGUGCAGAAGGGGCAACUGGAAUUCUCGGUGUAGCGGUGAAAUGCGUAGAUAUCGAGAGGAACACCUGCGGCGAAGGCGGGUUGCUGGGCUGACACUGACGCUGAUGCGCGAAAGCCAGGGGAGCGAACGGG